AGUGAACGCUGGCGGUAUGCCUAACACAUGCAAGUCGAACGGACGCACAGUAAGAUCUUGCUCUUACGUGUGGCGAGUGGCGUACGUGUGAGGAAUACAUCGGACUCUACUUUUUCGUGGGGGAUAACGUAGGGAAACCUACGCUCAUACAGCAUUCGACCUACGGGUGAAAUCAGUGAAACUUUGGCUCUUGCGCGCUUGUAUGAGCCGAUGUCGGAUUAGCUUGUCGGCGGGGUAAAGGCCCACCAAGGCAACGAUCCGUAGCUGGUCUGAGAGGAGGAUCAGCAACACUGGACCUGAGAAACGGUCCAGACCCCUAGGGGAGGCAGCAGUGGGGAAUAUUGGACAAGGGGCGCAAGCCUGAUCCAGCCAUACGGCGUGGGUGAAGAAGGCCUUCGGGUCGUAAAGCCCUUUUGUUGGGAAAGAAAAGCAGCAGGUGAAUACCCCGCUGUUCUGACGGUACCCAAAGAAUAAGCACCGGCUAACUUCGUG
rnacentral:rRNA from 1 species